rnacentral:rRNA from 1 species
UACAGAGGGUGCGAGCGUUAAUCGGAAUUACUGGGCGUAAAGCGCACGUAGGCGGCUUUGCAAGUCGGGUGUGAAAUCCCCGGGCUCAACCUGGGAAUUGCAUUCGAGACUGCAUGGCUAGGAUGCGGAAGAGGGAAGCGGAAUUUCCGGUGUAGCGGUGAAAUGCGUAGAUAUCGGAAGGAACACCAGUGGCGAAAGCGGCUUCCUGGUCCAGCAUCGACGUUCAGGCACGAAAGCGUGGGGAGCAAACAGG